UACGGAGGAUGCGAGCGUUAUCCGGAUUUAUUGGGUUUAAAGGGUGCGUAGGCGGAUUGAUAAGUCAGGGGUGAAAACCUGCAGCUUAACUGUAGACUUGCCUUUGAUACUGUCAGUCUUGAGUGUGGUCAAGGUAGGCGGAAUGUGUAAUGUAGCGGUGAAAUGCUUAGAUAUUACACAGAACACCGAUUGCGAAGGCAGCUUGCUGGACCAUUACUGACGCUGAUGCACGAAAGCGUGGGGAUCGAACAGG
rnacentral:rRNA from 1 species